GCUGGGCGUGGUGGCGCACGCCUUUAAUCCCAGCACUUGGGAGGCAGAGGCAGGCGGAUUUCUGAGUUCGAGGCCAGCCUGGUCUACAAAGUGAGUUCCAGGACAGCCAGGGCUAUACAGAGAAACCCUGUCUCGAAAAACCAAAAAAAAAAAAAAAAAAAAAAGUUAUAAACUCUGAGGGUUUUGUGUUGUUGUGGAACUCCAUAGACUAGGCUGGCCUUGAACUCACAGAGAUCCACCUGCCU
rnacentral:lncRNA from 1 species